UGGGGAUUAAGAGAGACUUCUGUAUUAUGGAGGAGUUGUUUUGUUUUGUAAAGUGAAGUGGAAUCUGGUUCAAUACAUACCACUGAUUCAAGCAAGUCCACCUAAGUUUGGAUGCAGUGAGCACCUCUCAGUGGUUCCAAGCAUGCUGAGAACACUUUAAAUUAUCCUUCAGGCCAGAGGAAAACAGGGAGUACAGCUAGGACUUCCAUUCACUGAACCCUACUGAACUUGUCAUAAAAAGUGGGAGUUGUUCCAAAGAUGAAAAAAAAUGUUCAGUGUGGUCUGAUUAAUAUUUCUGGAAAAGAUGGCUAAAAGAUUCUUAAGAAAAAGCUCUUCAUUAUAAAUUUCUCUUGUAAUUUGAAGUAUACAUAUAAAAGUAUGUGUGUUCUUAUGUAUACUUAAGUGAGUAUAAACUAACAAAAUAUGAGUUGAUGAUGUCUGUGGAAAGGUAGACCUUAGCACCAACACUUUGCCCAAGGCUGUUCUUGAAAUUAUGACUUUCUAUUCAGAAAAAUUCAGCUGUCCUAAUCCCAGCCAAAUGUGGGUGGGCAGGGUGACAGGAUUUUAAGCUACAGUUAUUCCUACUCGGCAGCCGACCACAGUCAAGGUAAGCUUCUGGGUUUCUGCUGGAGGGAGUCCUCACACUUCUGCACGUCAGCUUACCAGCAAAGCAUGUGAGCAUUGGUCAGCAAGUAGCAAAUUGAACAACACACUCACCUCAGAUGUUUGUUUUGCUGAGACCUGACUGAUCCCACUAGAAACUGCACUAUUUAUCCAGAUCCUCCAAAGCUCAAAGACCUUGCAGUGUGAGGGGUGGCAAUCAGCCAGCAGAAGAGAGUUUUCUACCCAAUCGAUAUCCUUGGCCCUGUCCAGUACGCUCUGACAAGCAGGAUAAGCAUCAUCUCCCCUUCCCCCGCUCCCCAUUAAACAUACUUGCAAAAUGUCACAUACUGCAUCUGGAGAUGGAAAUGUUAUCACAGCACAGGGUACUGUCCAACUAUGGAUGGAAACCACUUAAAACUGCAGACUUACAAAGUUCACAACACCACUGCAGCAUAAUACUGGCUUGCAAGAAGAUUGCUACUUCUUACAGAUGGACCAAGGGCUAGUUAAAAUGGAAGCUCAUGUUCUUGCUUGUGCUGCCUUGACAAAGUAAGCAAGAAUCAUUCUGACAUAUUUCUGGGAAAUGGGUCAACACUGAAUACCUGCUGCACACAGAUGAAUAAUGCAGCAUGGGUGGUCAUGGGGCUAUCUGUAUUGUCCUCAUAGACAUUAAGCAGUCUACCCCACUGUAUACCAUAAGGAAUUCUGUUCCUUCCAAAACUUGCUCUUCAGAACAAGUCCAUUUUGCCACUUACCUUAGCAAAUAAGUUUUCUACAAAUGGUCUAGACUUCUAAAAUAGAUACUAUCUAUAGUUUAUAUAUCUUACACUUACAUGCAUGCAAUCAUUUUUACUACAUACUUGUGGUAAAGACUAAAGAAAA
rnacentral:lncRNA from 1 species